AGCCUACGGGAGGCAGCAGUGGGGAAUAUUGCACAAUGGGGGAAACCCUGAUGCAGCAACGCCGCGUGAGUGAAGAAGUAUUUCGGUAUGUAAAGCUCUAUCAGCAGGGAAGAAGAAAGACGGUACCUGACUAAGAAGCCCCGGCUAACUACGUGCCAGCAGCCGCGGUAAUACGUAGGGGGCAAGCGUUGUUCGGAAUGACUGGGCGUAAAGGGUGUGUAGGCGGUUUAGCAAGUUAGAAGUGAAAUACCUAGAGCUUAACUCAGGUGCUGCUUCUAAAACUGCUAGACUUGAGUGCAGU
rnacentral:rRNA from 1 species